UUUUCGUAGUGAAAAUGAGCAAAUUAAAGACCAUAACUGGGAUGUUUACAGCUGCAACAUGGAGAACAAACAGAUAAGGCUGCUGUGGAAACCAAAAGGUCACUGGACUUCAAGGACAAACUCCUGGAAAAUAAUCUACUGAGGUUGCUGAGACUGUGUGUGGCCCAGGAUAUCUGAACUGCAAAGGACUGGAGGAUAGGGGAGCACACAGAAAACAGUGAGAUCUCUGUGCUCAAGAUUUCCU